rnacentral:rRNA from 1 species
GAUGAACGCUGGCGGCGUGCUUAACACAUGCAAGUCGAACGUGAGAAUAGCAAUAUUUGAAAGUGGCAAACGGGUGAGUAACACGUGGGAACCUGCCUCGAAGUGGGGGAUAACGAUUGGAAACGGUCGCUAAUACCGCACGGUUCUGCUCUGAUGGGAAUGGAGCAGAUAAAGAUUUAUCGCUUUGAGAGGGGCCCGCGGCCGAUUAGCUAGUUGGUAAGGUAAAGGCUUACCAAGGCGAUUAUCGGUAGCUGGUCUGAGAGGACGAUCAGCCACACGGGAACUGAGACACGGUCCCGACUCCUACGGGGGGCAGCAGUGAGGAAUAUUGGGCAAUGGGCGAAAGCCUGACCCCAGCAACGCCGCGUGGAGGAUGAAGGCUUUAGGGUUGUAAACUCCUUUUGUGGGGGAAAAGAAUGGAUGGUACCCCAAGAAUAAGUCACGGCUAACUACGUGC